rnacentral:rRNA from 1 species
AGAAUGCCAGCGACCCCGCUGAGGGAUUGACGCUCGGUUGUAACUCUCAGUAAGAGAGCGAAGUGACGUACUGCAGAGAGCCCCGGCUAACUACGUGCAGCAGCCGCGGUAAUACGUAGGGUGCGAGCGUAUCGGAAUAUGGGCGUAAAGAGCCCGUAGGCGGUUGUCGCGUCUUUCGUGAAAGUCCGGGGCUUAACCCCGGAUCUGCGGUGGGUACGGGCAGACUAGAGUGCAGUAGGGGAGACUGGAAUUCCUGGUGUAGCGGUGGAAUGCGCAGAUAUCAGGAGGAACACCGAUGGCGAAGGCAGGUCUCUGGGCUGUAACUGACGCUGAGGAGCGAAAGCAUGGGGAGCGAACAGGAUUAGAUACCCUGGUAGUCCAUGCCGUAAACGUUGGGCACUAGGUGUGGGGACCAUUCCACGGUUUCCGCGCCGCAGCUAACGCAUUAAGUGCCCCGCCUGGGGAGUACGGCCGCAAGGCUAAAACUCAAAGGAAUUGACGGGGGCCCGCACAAGCGGCGGAGCAUGCGGAUUAAUUCGAUGCAACGCGAAGAACCUUACCAAGGCUUGACAUGUUCUCGAUCGCCGUAGAGAUACGGUUUCCCCUUUGGGGCGGGUUCACAGGUGGUGCAUGGUUGUCGUCAGCUCGUGUCGUGAGAUGUUGGGUUAAGUCCCGCAACGAGCGCAACCCUCGUUCCAUGUUGCCAGCACGUAAUGGUGGGGACUCAUGGGAGACUGCCGGGGUCAACUCGGAGGAAGGUGAGGACGACGUCAAAUCAUCAUGCCCCUUAUGUCUUGGGCUUCACGCAUGCUACAAUGGCCGGUACAAUGGGUUGCGAUACUGUGAGGUGGAGCUAAUCCCAAAAAGCCGGUCUCAGUUCGGAUUGGGGUCUGCAACUCGACCCCAUGAAGUCGGAGUCGCUAGUAAUCGCAGAUCAGCAACGCUGCGGUGAAUACGUUCCCGGGCCUUGUACACACCGCCCGUCAAGUCACGAAAGUCGGUAACACCCGAAGCCGGUGGCCUAACCCUUGUGGGGGGAGCCGUCGAAGGUGGGACCAGCGAUUGGGACUAAGUCGUAACAAGGUAGC